CAAUAAUAGGGGUUUGUUGUAACAGGGUAUGGCUAGAAUUGGGGUAUGUUGUACAUGUAACAAGGUAUGGCUAGAAUAGGGGUUUGUUGUAACAUGGUAUGGCUAGAAUAGGAGUUUGUUGUUACAAGGUAUGGCUAGAAUAGGGGUUUGUUGUAACAGGUUAUGGCUAUUAAAUGGGUUUGUUGUAACAGGGUAUGGGUCGAAUGGAGGUGUGUUGUACAUGUAACAAGGUAUGGCUAGAAUAGGGGUUUGUUGAAACAGGGUUUGGCUAGAAUAGGGGUUUGUUGUAACAAGGUAUGACUAGAAUAGGGGUUUGUUGUAACAGGGUAUGGCUAGAAUAGGUGUUUGUUGUAACAGGGUAUGACUAGAAUAGGGAUGUGCUGUACAUGUAACAAGGUAUGGCUAGAAUAGGGGUUUGUUGUAACAGGGUAUGGCUCGAAUAGGUGUUUGUUGUAACAGGGUAUGGCUAGAAUAGGGAUGAGUUGUACAUGUAACAAGGUAUGGCUAGAAUAGGGGUUUCUUGUAACAAGAUAUGGCUAGAAUAGGGGUCUGUUGUAACAGGGGAUGGCUAGAAUAGGGGGUUGUUGUAACAA